rnacentral:ncRNA from 1 species
GAGAGCCCGGUGCGCUGAAAGGCGCCCGCCGGGUUCGGGAAGCGGCCCAGGGAAACGGAUCGGCCGAAAGACCGACACCGCGCCCCGGGCCGACUUCAC